rnacentral:lncRNA from 1 species
GCAAUUAAUUAUUAAAAAUAUACGUUUUGUGGCUGAACAUUCCCCUUCAUGGCUGUUAAACUCUGAGAAAUGUUUUGCUUUUUAAUAAUUAAUUUUUUUUUAUUUUUUGAGGAUACAAUAAGUGCUUUGCGGGAAGUUGGGGGAAGGAUGGUCUGGCUGCUGCCUAAGACUGCUGGGUGACCCAGGAUGGGUUCCCAGCUUUGAUAUAGGCUUCCUGAAUGGCUGGGCACAUACUUGGAGGUGCCACUCCAACAGGGGAUCUUUGCUAACACAGUGGCAUAGCCGUGUGCUCAUCCCCAGGUCUGCUCAUCUUGCACACUGGAUUAGCAGAGGCACGCUAAAAGCAGCAGACUCAGGCCUUCGCUGGAGGACAAAAGUCAGUUCAGGGGACCUGAUGAAACAAAUCCACAGGAAUUGGACUCUUCAUGCAUUGCAAACUGAAGAAAGGGCUAAAUCCAUGUGCUACAGAUGCUUGCUGAGUGCAGUUGGACGCAUAUUUCCAGGAACAGAAACUCACCCUACUGACAAGGAACAGAAACUCCAUGAAGUCCCAGCAGAUGAUCUCUGCUGCUGUUGAUUGCCGAAGAACAACACUUUGGUACCAGAGAACACGAAACACCUCAGACAGCCUCACUUGGGCAGGUUUGGAGUCAGGUGGGAUGUGGUUGUAUUGCUUUUGUGCACGAUAAAAUAAUCUGCUACUCGUUUUGAUUGAAAAUAUACGUAGUGUCUGUAGCUAUUUCUGUACUUAGGGGUGAUCGUAAACAGACCGCCUGGAUUUAUCUUGCAAUGUUUAUUGCUAACGAUGGUGAACAAGGAUGACUAAUUCAAAGGCCACAGUCUGAUCACUAGCUGGGCUUAAACUGCGGGCCUCAUGUGCUACUUCUCUACAAACAGAUCUUUUAUUGAUGUAUUUAUUUUCCUCAUAGGUAGAAGUACCUCCUUUCAGAAACACGGUAUCUUGUUGUAAAGCUGAGGUAAUUUUUUGUCUUUAUUGAUACAAGGAAUAAAUUUACUAAUAUAGCCA